AGAAAUUUAAAGAAAGAAAAAGAAAAAGAAGAGAAGAUAUUAUGUGUAUGAAAGUUGGCCAAAAUACACACAUGGACGACAAGUCUCCAACACAAGAGUUAAGAUAUAAUAUAUAAACUAAGAAAAGUAUAUAUAUGUGUAUGAAGAAGUGAGAGUGGUCUCUCAUUUAACACCAAAUUUCACCAACAACCAACUGCUUCCUACAUUCAGCUGUCAACAAAAAAUAAUAACUCCACACCCAAUUAAUUUAAUAAUUCCUCUCUCUUUACUUUUUGGCUUUGCCUUUGCCAUAUUAAGUGUAUAUAUAAUAUGAUAACAUAUUCAUAUUGUUUGUGUGGCAACUUUUAAUAUUACCGUCUGGUCCGUCUCUUUCUUCUUCAUUCUUCAUUCUUCUUCUUAUUUAACAAAGUCACAAAGGAACGAAAGAAAGAAGAGGGAAUUAUCUUUAGGCAAUGCAAUUGCUGUCAUUGGCUGCAUAUUACAUAUUUUUCAAUGCUUCAAAGGUUGUUUAUUUGGUUUUUUUGGUUGUUCUUGUAAUUAUUAAUCUCACCAUAUUUGCCCAAAAUAUGAGAGAUUUUAUUAUUUGCAAGGAUGACCUUCUAAACUCUCUAUUCUUCCACUUCGAACUUUCUCCCACUCAUCAAUCUCUUCACCACUACAACUUUUCUGCUUGUUACCUUCAAUUCUUGUAAACCUCUUCUUUUUCUCUCUACUUUCAUGUAUAUGAGUAAUGUAAAGUUUUCUUUUCUUUUCUCUAUUGUUUUUCUUAAUUAAUAUAUGGAUAGUUACAAGUUUGUUUUUUACAAAUUAAAUUAGUGUAAACACCUAUAUCAAUGUUGAAGUGAGUUUAAUUUAGUGAUGAUUGAUACAUAAAAGUUGAUGGUUUGAUAAUCUUCCAUUUCAUAAUUAUUAUUUUUUUAAAAAAAAAGUCUAAACAAGUAUAUUACAGUUUUCACACUUACUGAUAGCUAGAAAAAUGUCCAACUAUAUCAACAUCAAUAAUAAUGUCCAAAAGUAAGCAAAGACUAAACUGAAUAACCACGAACUUUUAUAAAAACCUUAAUAUCAUAUAUCUUUUAGAAAGAGUAAUUAAUAUAUGUUUAUAUAUACACAAAUUGUAGAAUAAAACAAGAGAUUAGUGCAUUGACAUGAGUCAGCUUAUAAAUUAAGGAUAUACUCACAGUAUGCAAAUAUAGUAACACCAUCUUUCAAAUUCAAAGAUGAUAAAGUAGCAACCAACUUAAGUUUGUCAAGCAAGUGUGUGAAACAACUAGGUGACCGUGCGUUAAGGUGACGGUGCAUUCAUGAAGAUAUUAGCAAAUUGUUCGAUUAUUGUGGAGACAGAUCUUAAGAUGUGAGUGUUGCCCUAGAGAUUGAUGACAAAUGAAGUGAAUCAUUUUCAAUAUGUUUGGUACUUUUCCAUGAAAUACAUCAUCAUGAGCGAUAUAAAAUAGCACUAAGAUUUUCACAAAUGAAGUAAGUCGAUGAUUGUUGAGGAACAAUCAGAACCAUAAGGAACCAUCGAAGCCAAACUCAAAGUCAAAUCAACAAGAGCACGAUAUUCAAAUUCAGUACUAGAACAUAAAACAACGUUAGUUUAACUUCGUUUCUUAUAACACUAAGGAUGCAUGAUUGGGAAGAUAAAAGUGAAUCUCCCAAGUAGAAGCAAUAGUCUAUGGUGGAGCAUCCAUUAGUAGGAUCACCCGCCUUAAUCAGCGUCUGAGCAGCCAGAUAACAUUACGGAUGAUUACGAAAAAAGAUGAAGUCCAUGACCAAGAGUUUCCCUUGAGUACAUAUGGUAGAAUGGGAAGAAACAAAUAUAAAAUGUAUAGAUUGAAGGGAUGGAAAUCUUUACGUAGAGGAAGAAAAAAUAGAGACAAAAACUGAACUUUUAAUUGGAAUUUGGAAAUUCUCGUACAUUGCCAAAAUUUAGAAAGAAUUGAUUUCAAAAUUCUACGGUAAAGCACGCUUUUCGAAACUAAAAUCAUGGAUAAUGAAACUUACUUUCGUUGACAUCUUUAAAUCUACCGAUCGUGUUAUUGGGAGUCAUAAAUUAUAUUCUUCAAAAUAUAGACCCACUGAAAAACAAAACUUUCGUAUGAAAAAUUCACUCCAUCCACCGCUAAAGAUAGUAAAGAUAUUAUUUUCUUAAAAUAUGGAUGCAAAUUUAGCAAAAUAAUUGAGUAUAUUACAAUAUUUUAAAAAAAUUGCAAAUAUAACAAAAUUUGUCAAGUUCUAUCAAUGAUAGAAGUCUAUCACUGAUAGACCAUGUUAUAAAUAUUGGUUUAUCAUCGUUAGAUCAUACAAAUCUAUCAACGAUACAAGUCUAUCAGCAAUAAUAUUACUAUAUUUGUAGUUUUUUUAAAUGUUGUUAUAUCUUUAAAUUAUUCAUCAAAUAGUCAUCAAUUAUAAUUACUCUGUUCUUAACUACUAAAUGUGGGACUUGAACAACGGGUUUCAUUUUCCCAUUGAAUUGAGAGAGAUUCAAUUUAGAAGUUUGGGCCCAAUCCCAAAUCCAUUUGCUUGUUGGAUUUGAGUUUGGAUUCAUAUCGUGGUGUUGGAUUUGGGCAAUGUGCUUGGACUUGGGCUUAUUAUCUUCUUUGGCCUAAUUCUUCUAUCCAAGCCUAAAUUGGGUUAAAUAUGAUAAAAACUUAAUUACUAAAAUUCAAUCAAAUUAUAAUUAUCACAAUUUUUUUGUAGCGAUAAUGGCGACCAAAUUUAAUUGCCAAAAUUUCUUGUUUGAUUGUUUGAUUUGAUUUAUUAAAUUUGAAUUAGUUAUAUAAAUAAAAUAGGAACUUUGAGUUUAGAAGUGAUUAGAAGUGAAAGUUCAUUUUGUUGAGUAAGAUUGUGGAAUAAUUGGAAUAGUUGCAAAUUUGACAAUUAAAUUUAAAAUAAUUAAGUAUAUAGCAAUAUUUUAAAAAGAUUACAAAUAUAGCAAAAUUUGUCAAAUUCUAUCAAUGAUAGAGUCUACCAUGUUGUAAAAAUUUGUAUAUCACCGAUAGAUCAUACGAGUCUAUCAGUGAUAGUGUUGCUAUAUUUGCAAUUUUUUUAAAUGUUGUUAUAUCCUUAAUUAUUAUUCCUCAAAUGGUCAUCAAUUACAAUUACCCGAAAUGGAUAAUAAUUAUGGUAGCCUAAGUUGGAUUAUGAAUAAGAAAUGUGAUUAUUAAGUGUUGCUUCCAAUUGAUUGGGCUAAUCCCAUUAAUUGUAGUGAAGAGUGAGUGUCAAUCUUUUUUGCAAUUGAAUUGCAUGAAAGUCUAUUUAAGUAAGCUUUCUGGGUGAAUUUGAUUCUCUUUAAUGUCUCCUAAUACUUCAUCUCUUCUAUGACUCAUGGGAUCCGAAGAAUAGCCAAGAAGACGUUGAUUGUGUUCACGAUCCAUAUGAAAAAAGAAAAAAAAAAUUAUGGCUUGAGUAAAUGUCGUUGCACAUCACACCACCUUGAUUUUUUAUGCGAUCUCUUCAUUAAACUUACUGAAAGAAUUGAUAAAUUAAACUGGUCAUUUAAUUUAACAAAUCACUUAAACUCUAGUGCUGUGAGAAGGUUAAGGUGUAAAUGGAUAUUGCAAAGGAAGACAAGACUAAGAGCCUAGGGAUAGAAGACUCACCUUACUUUAAGAAAUAAGAGACACGAUAGGGUAAAAAAGAAAACUAAGCUUUAAUUAAUCUAACUAAGAUACAACCAUAGAUGAGAACAUUAGGUUAGAGCCUAAUUAGAAUUUCUUAAAGGAAUUUGAUACGAGUCUAAAUAAGUGUAGUUUUUUCUGCCAUGCAUACUUAUAGUUCUGUCAUGCAUACUUAUAGUUCUGGUGUGAUUGUUGACUCUUGUUUGAUUAAUAUUGUUUACUGUUUUUAAUUUAAAUUAUGUUAAUUCAAAGCACGAUUUUUCUCAAUUACCUUACGAUCUCAUUUAGUCACAUUUUUUAAUAAAUUAAAUUGUUGUUAGUAAUGUGGUUAGAUACGUGGGUAUAUAAGAUACUCUAGGUACUUGAGAUUAUAUAACUUCUUCAACAAUUGAGAUUAUAACUUCUUCAAUGCUUGUACUUAGCCCUAGUUUACCUAUAUUUUUACUACUCACACACAUUGGAUCAAUGAAGUAGUGACAACUAGGUAGUGCACCCGACAUUGCAAGCAAAAAACCCUAUUUUCGAGCAAAGUUGUGCAGAGCAGAGUGUAGCUACGCUUCGAAGACAUCCCAUGUGCUCACGUCUCGAAGUGCGUACGAUGCUUUGAUAUUUAUAUAAAUACAUUUUCGUUCGAUUUAGGUUAAAAUUAAUGUUCUAUCCCAAUUGCUUUUUGUAAGUUUUCUCUCUACUUCUCUCCUAUUUUUGGUACUUUGAUGUAUGAAAGUGCAUCCCCUGAUGUGUCAAUUAUGGACUAAGCUAACUAUUUCUUGGUUGGGUUUUAUGAUUUCUCUUUAGUUGGAUGUACUUGUGAGAUUUUCAAUCGAACGUCGAUGUGUUAGUGCUUGAUUCAAUUAUGUUUUUAAUAGAUUACGAUCAUAUUAUCAAACACUUGAAAAUUUUAUAAUUAUUAAUGCUUUUGAUCGAUAUUUGAUACAUGACACACAAUCUUAUAUCGACGACUAGAAAGCCAGAGAUUAAGUUAGCUAGCAAACUAUACUGCACUAACCAAUCUAGGGUUGAGUUGAUUGGAUGUUUAAUCACUAUUUUUCUUUGUUAAAUAUUUAGCCUAAUGCAUGUUUUCCUGGAUCUUAAUGCAGAUUUAAGACAAUUUGUAUUUGCAUGUUUUUGAUAAUUCUAAUUGAACUAGUUAAUUAGGACAAACUAAUUGGUGUUUCCAAUUUUUCUUAGUUAGGGGUAAGAAAAUACUUAAAUUAGAUAUUGAGAAUUCAAUGAAUGAGUACAUUCAACAGAGAAAAUUUUAGAACAAUCCAACUUAGGAUUCAUUUAUGUAUCAACUCUUUUUGCUUAGUUAUUUUAGGCCCUUCUUUUUCUUGUCAUCAAAACAAUAUCUAAAAUUUUCACAUCGAUUAUCUUUAGGCUCUAAAUUGUUUAACUGAUAAAUUCACUUGUUGUUUGUGUCUAAGCUGAUCUUGUCAAUAAGACUAGUUUGUAGGGGCGGAUAUGAUUUAAUUAUUUGAUCCGGAUUUUGUUCAAAAUGGGCAUGAUCAUCCUCCUUCAGGAAAACCUUGUUCAACAAUGUCAUUGGCUGUGGUUCUAAAGGCUUUGCUAAUUAUUGAUCAAUUUGGUAUGCGUUUGUAUACAAAUUAUAUGAUUUUGUGAUCUUCUUAUAACUUUUGAUUCUGGACUUCCUUUGAUAAACCCACAUUUGAACAAAGAGGCACCAAAAAUUAUGGUGUGGCUGCAUGGUUGGUUCUACAGCUUCGCCUUCUGAAGUUCUUGCUCAAAAAAAUGAUCUCUUCUCCGAUCACCAACUCAUCUUUGACUAAACAACGUAACUUGAUUGGAUAUGUCUAUUCUAGUCUCAUUUUAACACUACAUCUUAUUCUAUUUACAGAUUGCACUGAGAAAUUAAAGAAUGCUUUGUCUUUAAUUUGUUGGUGAGAUUUGGAGGUAAAUGAUUACAACUGUGCUCUAUGUUGAAUGAAAAUUUUGAGAAAGCAAAUUACAUUAUUAGUUUAUUAAAAGUAUGCAUUCCCACAUUUUUAAGAUAACAUUGCGGAAUUCCCUUUAUAUACUCAUGUCUUCCUUAUUCACGAUAAUUUUGUAAUUACAAAGAGUUGGUGAUAGCAAAAACUAGUUAGGAUCAAUUAAUUUUUUAAUAUAUAAAAAAAAAUGAAUUUUACAACAAUCUAGUUAAGCAUCAAAUUAAGAUCUAAUGACUUAGUUAUGAAAAAACAACUUAAUUAAAAUUUGAGAAAGUUAAAAAAAGAAAUUGUCACACACCUCUGAUUUUUAUAAAACAGUAAUUAAAAAAAGAUGAAGUAGCAUUAAACAUCACUCUAAGUUCACUUAGUCAGCACUUAUUAUUGAAAAGAAAAAAAAGAAGUGUGAGAGGGAGGAGGAGGAGGAGGAGGAGUAAGGGGAGAAUUGUGAAAAGGAAAAAUAGGCGUAAGGAUUGGGUUGGGCGUUGUGAGUUGUGAGGGCGUUGAGACUUGUGAGGAAGGUGGCGUGAUGAACAGACGCACACGCGCCCAGUUGUUGAAUGAAAAGGUGAAAGGGCAUUUGAGGAAUAACUUAAUUCAACGCUUUUCCAGAGAUCCGACCGUUACGAUUUAUUUGAAUAAUUAAAGGAAAAAACAAAUGAGACCCCCAUUUCAAAAACCUCCAAUUUCCAUCCUCUCUGUAUCUCUUUUCAGUUUUCCUAUUCUUCUCUACUUCUCUACUUCUCUCUCCCUCUCUCUCUCUCUCUCUCUGUUUUUGUAAGUCAUUUCCAUGGAUGAUUCCAACAACAAAGCCUUAUCACUCAUGGAACCAAAACCUUCACACCCACUUCACCAGAUUGCAGAAACCCCAACCCACAAACUUCUUCUCAAGCAAUGGCUCAAGGAAGAAGAACUGAUCUUCGGCAGAAUUUCACUCAAAGAAACCCAAAUCGACUCUGUUAGAAAAGAAAUCACCAUGCUUCACAUUUUCUUCUUCGUCUUCCACUCUACAGCCAUACUCCUUCUCUUCAAUGCCUCCACCAAGGAUUUCCAUGGUGUAGCCUGUAAGAGAUCGUGGAUUCCUUCACUCUGUUCUCUCUUGUUCUCUCUGGGAAUCAUUUGGGCUGUCAGAUACAAGACGGAUGUUGAAGCCCAUUUGGAGAAAUUGCUUGAGAGGGAAAAAGAAGACCGGAAUUUGUUGUCAAAGUGUGUGGAUGAAUUGAAGAGGAAAGGGAUUGAAUUUGAUUUGCUGAAGGAAGUGGAUGCGCUGAGGAGGGCCAAGAGUCUGAGAGUUGAAGCCAAGGCUGUGAGGAAAUGGUCUUCCAGGGAUUUCAUCACUCUGUUUUUCUUCUCUGUUUCUUGUAUGUUUCUUGGGAUUAUUAGGGUGGUUCUAUGUAACAACUAAAAGGGGGGGAUUGGUGAUUGGUGAUUUUGGAUCUUCUUUGUUUCAUUGCAGAUUACUCUGAUCUGCACUUGUAUUUUGUUGCUUUCGUGGGUAUUAUUUGGAUAACAAUUUUAUCUUCUUUCCAAAAGUAGUUAUUUUGUUGUUAUUUCUAAUUUAUUUACACCAUCUCAUCAUUCUUGCUACAACAUUUUGGUUAGAACCAAAUAAAAAUUAUUUUUAUCCGCAUGAAGAAAACUUAUCAAUAAUUGAUAUAUAAUCAAAGGCUUAAAUUCUUGUACUCAUAUUUGUUAUAAUAAAUAUAUAUAGAGUAAAUUGUAGUUACUUACAGGUGUGUUUUUAGAGGCACCUUAAACUACUUGCAAAUUAGAAUACGUGAAAAACCACUUUGGUCCUUUCUCUCUUGUGACUCCCAGCAAUCGAAUAAAAUAUUGAAGGGUGAAGAAAGAAGAGAAUAUCAAUGAAAAUAGUUAGGCAGAGCUUGGUUUAGAGAUCUAAGAAAGAAGAAAUGGGGAAGAAUGCUUAUUCAUUUAGAACUUUGAAAAAUCCCGUAUUGCAUAACAAGAGGGAAACACUGUAAUAGCCAAACAAUUUAUCAUACAAUUACAAAAACAGACACAAAAAUAUUAAAAAAAUGGGAGAUUCCACAGAACACAAAUUAUGUAUUGUUAUGUACAAAGCCAGAGGGGUGGGGGCAUGUUGAGUAAAUGUGAAACCAAAAAAAAAAAAAAUGAAAAAUGCCAAUAUUAUGCUUCUUCAUCUACCCUCUCCUAAUAAUCCACGAAGCAUUGGUUCAGAAGGGUUGGCUGGCGAGCGCUUCGUAUCAAUAAUACUUGAACUUGUAGAUGCAUAACGGCCGGUAUCAGGUUCUUCAGUUGAUGGAGUAUCUAUAAAGCUUGUAAUAUCCUCAAAUUUCCAAUCUGUCAGGUAUCCUGGUUUGGAAGUUACAGUGGCCACUUCGAUGUCUCCACUCAGCAUUGCCACCACGCGGGACAUCGAUGGUCGAAGACCUGGGGAUGUUUGAGUGCACAGAAGAGCUACACCAAUCACCCUUUUUACUUCCUCCUUCCUGAACUCCGAUAAUGCAGAAUCCACCAUCUCAAGCUCACAGUUGUUUUCGUGGAGAUACCAUGCCUACAACCAGGAAAACAGUAAUUAAUCAGAGAAAUGCUAAUCAAAACAUAAAUGUAAGCGACAAGACGAAGAAUGCACCAUUGUUUGAGUAAUAAUGUAUAUACUUUUGGUCUCAUCGUUGAGUUAUGAGAGGAAAUGCAAAGCAAGUAUUAAGGCUAGUCACUAAGAAAACUGUUAUUAAACAGUUUAGUUGUUUCAUUUUUCAGUUUAGUUGUUAUACAGUUUUUCUGUUUCUCUUAUCUACUGUACAUUUCCCUUUGUAAAAGGAAAUGCAUUGUAUCUAAAUAAUUCAAUUCAGAAAAAUAUAUUCAAACCUUCAUUCUCUAGAUCCACUCUUCCCGUAAGCUACUCUUUCUUUAGCAAGAUAUUGAGCAUUUGUUUAUUGUUUUCUAGCGUUCUUCUCAUGUUUGAUCAAAACUCUUCAUAAUUUAUAUGAUUGUGCUGGCGAUGGGACUGGCCAGCAAUUGCAUGGUUUUAAGUUACUAUGGAUUUAAGAUCAAAGGUAAAGUUGAGACAAUUUGGAUGAGAGCAAUAUGAAGGAAAUAGAGAAGGAUCUGAAAAAAGGAUAUGAUUUCAUAAAAGCCCAGGGGAGGGUGCUUAGGAAGAGAAGUAUAAGUGGGCUGUGGGCAUCAUCUAAGUGAGAAAGAAGUUCUUAACAAAAUAGUAAAAAUGAUUUUAAAACGAUUUCAUUCUUACCCAUUCGAGAAGAUAAAUUUUAUCUUGAUCUAAGCUUGGGUCUGAAUUUGGCCUUCCACUAACAAUUUCAAGAGCCACAACGCCAAAUCCGAAGACAUCAGCCUUCUCCGUAAGGUGGCCACGCAUGGCAUACUCGGGUGCAAGAUAACCACUGCAACAGUAAUAUGAACAACAUUAGUACUCGAAUAAAUAAAAUAAAACAGAAAAUUUAAUUAAAGAGCUAAUCUUACAUUGUACCAGCAACACGGGUGCUUAUAUGAGUCUUUUUGUCAUCAUAAAGUUUGGCUAACCCAAAAUCUGAAAUUUUGGGAAUCAGAUUACCAUCAAGCAGGAUGUUACUCGCCUUAACAUCUCUGUGCACUAUGCGAAGUCUCGAUUCCUCAUGAAGGUAAGUGAGACCCCUUGCGACACCCACGCAAAUCUCAAACCGUGUUGGCCAAUCAAUAACGAAAUGUUUUUGCCCUGCCACAUAGAAGCCAUGCAUAAAUAUAACCAUCUUUGUUUUCAACAUCCAGAAAAUUGGAUAUAAAUUCCUUACCAAAUAAUGAUUGGUCAAGACUCUUGUUCUCAAGAAACUCAUAAACAAGGAGACGUUUAUCGGCCUCAAUGCAACAUCCAUAUAAUUUCACAAGGUUACGAUGUUGCACUGCAGAUAUUGUAGCGAUCUCAGCAACAAACUGGCUCUUUCCUUGGUGGGAUGCCACUGAAAGUUGCUUCACAGCAACAACUCUUCCAUCAUUUAAUGUUCCCUAAAGGGUAAAAAAAAUUAGACAGCAAGUAAAACCAAUACUUCAGAAUGCAUAAAAUAGAUACAAUCGUCCCACUAUCGUAUGAACUACAAAGCAAGCACUGUAAUUGACAUUGGUGAAACUUAUGGCACGAUUACGGCUCAACUGUAAGGUUGAUUCAGUCUAAGAAAAAUACAUAUCAGUUAUAGUUUUGACACCCUUAGCCUUUUCCCCUCAAUGGUCACACGUUACCAAGAUCUACAACAUUAUCUUUUCAUUAUUUUCACAAAACAAGAUUGAUGAAAUUUAUUGCGUAGUUUCAGGUAAUUGACAUUUGCUUAGCGCUAUCCACUCCUUGGACAUUCAAAAGAAAGACUAUACCUUGUAAACCUUGGACAUUCAAAAGAAAGACUAUACCUUGUAAACAGGUCCAAAUCCUCCCUCGCCAAGUUUGUUGGAUGAAUUAAAGUCAUUUGUAGCAUCCCUUAGUUCAGAAUAACUAAAAGUAUACGGUCUAAUGUCUAUUCCUAGGAGCUCUGCAAAAUAAUGAUCAAAAUAAAUAAAUGUUAAAGACGUGAAUAGAAGGUUAAGAAUGUCUCCUGGAGUGUAGAUCCAAAAUGAAAGGCAACAGAAUUAAGAAGCAAACAACUACUUAAAAGCAGGUUCUUUGAAAUUACCUUCAUCUUCAUAGGCACGACGCCUUUUCCUUCUCUGAACAACAAAGAAUACUGCACCGACAAUCAGAAAGAAAACAGAUCCUAAACCAACAACAAGCCCUACAAUUAGGCCUGUUCUAGUCACCUUAGUAGUUGGAGGUACGUUACUGACAGUUGGUACAAAAUCUGCAGAAAAGCUCAAUACUUAAUUGAAAAUACUUAAAAGCAACACAAACAAAGAACAAAACUUUCCAUAACUAAUUACUUGGGGUAGCGCUGAUGGCUGAAACAGCAGGCCCAAAAUCACCCUGACGGGGUAUGCAGCAAGUGCCUUUUCCCGCCCAAAAGAGAUGAAUUUCCAGGAAGUUUUCUGUAACUUCAGCAGUAAAAUUCCUUGUGAGAGCAAGGAAAGACCCACCUGCCUCCUUCCUAAUAUCAAAAUUCUGUAACACACGAUUUCCCUGAAACCAAUGAUGAUAAACUCAGAUAAGGGAACAGAGGAAGGCACAGCGUAUGAGCAUCAGUUUGUUGAGGAAUAACAAUGGACAGAAUGGAAAUAUAAUAUUACGAAAAUUAAAUUUAAAACACUGGACGGAUGACACUUGUUCUUACUGCAUAAACAUAAACAAAACUGGAAGUGUUGCUAACAACCAUCUGUAAGCAGAAGGUUAAAAUAUUGUUAUUAAAUUACAAUUUUGGGCCCUGUAUUUUCAUAUGUUUAACUAAGGUUCCAGACCUUUAAAAAGUAAGUAAUAGAUUCGUAGCUUUUAAUUUUGUGUCUUAUGGAUCUCUAAACUUUAAAAAUAUAUUAGACACAAUUGAAAGUUUAACGAGAUAUUAAACAAACUUAAGAUAUUGGAUCAAAUAUAGGCAAAGCCUUGGUGUAUACCAAAAUUUGGGACAAUAAUUUACUUUUUGCCUCCGCCUGGAAGUAUGGUAAAUAAAGAGUCAAAACAAGAUUAUAUAAAUAAAGAUGAAACAAAAAGGAACCUGUAUAUAUAUAUCAAAGAGACGCCUCCCAAGGCUUUGCCAUGUAUUUGAAUUUGGGAAAGCUAUUUCUGCAAAAUGAAGGUUCACAGUGUAGUUGCCGUUCUCAAGCCCUAGUCCAUAGUAUCUCAAUGAUGAAGCAGAUAUUCGCUGUGUCUGAAAAAGUUCUGACUCGAGGGUGUUCGAGAAUUGAGACAUCGUACUGGCUGUGUAAUUAGGAUUGCUGGUCCCAGUAAAGUAUCCAGUAUUACUAACGGCCCACCUCUGUGACUCAGUGACAAAGUACGUAGCAGGACCGAGGGCCAUAUUUUCCCUUUCAAACAAAACCCCUGAUGAACUUCUGAUCUGUGGACCUCCACACUUAAUCCCAAAAUCAGAAUCUGGCAUACAUACGCAAGACCAGAGUUACAUAAAAAGAUAUUCACCCAUAGGAUGGGGCAUCUUCUGACUUGCACUUGCCUUGUGUAAUGGCAGCAUUAUGAAGAUGUAUAAUCGUAUUUUAGAAACUUGUACAAAAAUAUAUGAGGGGAAAACAAGGUAUUUAGAAUCACAGAUUUUGAGAUUUAAAUCAGCUUGAAGUUGAGCUGGAAUGGACAAAAGUAAGCCUGAGGUAGUUUUUCCACUUCCUCAGAGAAACAUACAACAAAUAGAAAGAAAAUAUUUUGUAAUUUCUACUCACAUAAUGGACGGCCUCGAUUACAAGGAAAGUUGCGUUGAAGACAAUUCAAUCCAGAAGGCAAAACCCUGAAAGCAAAAGAGAAAUGUGUUAAACAAGCAACUUUAAGACAAUGAAGUGUUUGUAAGCAUAGUUAACCGGCACACAAAAGAGAGUAAGGAUAUUAAAUCAACUCAUGGAAAUACCUGCUAUUGCUACUUUCAAUUGUGAAAAUGUUGGCAACUAAAUUUCUGCAUAUCAAAGCCAACAAGAUUAUAUCAUAACCUUCAUCUUAAUGUUGCAUGAGUAGGUAGGGAGUGUUAAGUGUACUAUUGUAAUUUGCAUGAUUGUAAAGAAAAAGAUAUAGAACAGAAAAUAAUGGCCACUCACAGCUGUAAGUUUUCCUGGUCGAUCCAAGCAGGAAAGCUCCCUGAUAAAUCAUUAUAUGACAAGUCUCUACAAGAUCAAAUGGAAACGCAUUAGUACUCAAUAUAGAAGGUAAUAGCCAAAGAAAGGUGCAAAAGUAAAAUGUGAUAAACGACCAUUACGUUAUGGAAUUAUCAAGUUACACUAAAUAAUUUAGCUUAAUCGCUCCACAGUAAUUCGUGUAGGUUUUAGUAAACAUUUUGAACAGGUAGUCAGAUUCUUUAGUGUCUGACUGAGCCAAUAAAUCUAAGUGUGCCUGAAAUUGUCACUGUUUUCAGAUGGCAAAAUCAAGCACAUGAUUAUAUGCCUGAAUGAAUACCAUGCCUCUCAAACCUAAAUGUCAGAAAACGUGUAUAUAAAAAUUACCCCAGAAAUGCAUCCUGUGCAGCACCUUACUUUGAAUAUUAUAACUCUGUAAUUGAGAUGUUUGAUAAAAAUGCAUUCCUUUGGAGCAUAAAGAAAAGACGAUAGAAUCUUUCAUAUAUUUUUAGUAUAGAAAUUUCAUUUCCAGGAAUAGAACAUAUCAACCAUCUAAUUGAUCAAAGGAUUAUUGCUAGAUCAGAAACAUGUGUAAGGGGAACUGUAAAAAUCAACAUUUGCAAGACAGACUCACAUAUUUAGAAGUGAUACACUCUUCUGUGUAGGUAGGGUCCCAUUUAACUUAUUAUUUCCAAGGAUCCUGCACAGCCGACCGAGAAUAAACACUUCAAUUAAACAAAAAAACGGUGGGAGUCAUAUAGUUAUUGAAGGAAGGGUUGGAUGUUACAAGUGUGACAGUGAGCUCAAACUGAAAAGUGAGCUUGGAAUCUCUCCUGUCAAGUUGUUGAAGCUCAAGUCCCUACAAUAGAAAGGAGAACAAAGUCAAAUUAUUACCAAAACCACAAGAACUUUAAGAAUAAAAUGCGAUCUUCAAAUAGGAUCAACUCUCCACAAGAGAACUAAAUUACAUAAUGGUGAAAAUUAAAAAAUUUAAAAUAAAUGUUCCUAAAUUUACCAUCUUAAUUUAUUAAUCAGUUUUGAGAUGAGAUGACACCAACCAAUUUCUUGAAAAAAAACAUGAAACAUGUUGUAUCUCGGGUGAUUUGGUGGGGCAAGAAUAUCAUACACAAGAACUGGCAAACAGUUGUAUGGGUCAAAGUUGAUUGCAACACAAAAAAAAUCCAACCUAGCUCAUUACUAGCAACAAAUUCAUUUAAACAGUUAUUCAUUGAUGAGGAACUCUUACAGCUGGGCAAGUCUACGAAAUUCUCCAAUGUUGGAUGGAAUUGAACCAGUAAUAUUAUUAUUUCUCAGCACCCUGCAAGAAAAGGAAUGUUAUAUUUAUUGUUAGAUAUUAUAUUAAAUUUGUCUUCACCCAUAAGCUUAUACUUUUGGGUCAAUCAAUGACUAAAGAUGGUAUCAAAGUAGGUUGAUUCAAGAGAUUCUAAGUUCAAACCCCUGCAUUAUUAUAUCACCUUCCCAUUUAAUUUUCAUUUCCACUUGUUGGGCCUUCAUCAUAUUUCAAGCCCAUAAAUGAGGGGGAAUGUUAAAUAUUUUGUUAAAUUUGCAUUCACCUAUAAGCUUAAGUUUUUGGUUCAAUCAAUGAUUUAAGAGUUAUAAAAUGUUCGGGAGAUUCAAAAUAUUAAAAAUAAUAAUAAUAAGGGAUAUUUAACUUUUAAAUAUAUAUAUUUAAACGUCAUAGAAAAAAAACCACUAAAAGCCAAAAAUUCAUUACACUUGAUUUUCCUGUGAAAUGUAAAUAUUUUGUCUAUUUUGUUAUCUUUGACAAUUUCCCUAAUAAUAAUAAUAAUAACAACAACAACAAUAAUAAUAUAUAACAGCAACGAAACAAAAAAUGGAGCCAACUCACAGGAUAGUUAGAGAUGUCAUUUUACUGAUGAAUGCCAGAGAAGAGCUCCCAUUGGAUAAAUCACCUAUUCUCCUAUAUCAAUGAUAAAUGGUACACAUUAGCAAUGAUUCAAACAGUACAUAGACCAAAUAACCUGAAAUGGUUCUAUUUACUCACAACUCAGUCAAAGAUGUCAAGUUUGAAAAUGUCGAUGGUAUGGGACCUGUAAACGAGUUUCCUUGAAACCUCCUACAAAAGUAAGCAGGAAUGAGAAUUUUCACCAAGAUAAAAUCUCCAGCCAUUGCUUGGGCCAUCAGGCACCAUGGAGCUAAUAAGUUCUCUUACAAAGAUGUGAGCCUUGUCCAGUUCCCGAUGAAAUCAGGUAUUCUGCCAGUGAAUUCAUUGUCCGAUGCCCAUCUGUUCAGAGGAGAGAUUAAUAUCAAAAUGAUGCAUUCUUGGCUGAUAAAGUUAGGAAAAGUUGAAGCCAGAAAAUGGAUUACACUAUCUGCAAGUUUCUUAGACGUGAAAAUGAUGGAGGAAUACCACCCGAAACUCCAGAGCUAUCAAUGUAUCUAUCAAGACAAACAUGAUUAACAAAUUAUCAGUAUAAUCGUAAUGAAACAGUGCAAGGCAAAGUAAAGGUAGAUCAUCACAACCAAGCAUAACAAAACUUUAAUUAUAGUCAAAGAUUACAACUGGGACAAAUAUGUUCAUUCAGAUCUUUCAGCAUGCUCAUAACUCAUAAAUCAUACAUAUCACAGGGUGAAGGGACCCAAAGUCAAAUUAGUAUUUUAGAUUCUUGCAUCACAAACUCACAACUAAAGUAAAAUGAGCGUGAUUACAUACUGGUAAGAACUAUAAGUUAGGAUUGUGAACCGAUAAGUUAAUGAGCUCCUUCUUUCACAAAAGUUGGUUUAACUUUCAGUCUUCUCUCUUUUAUGUCUCCAACAUUAUACUCUUCAUUAACUGAUGUUUGGAUCUCAAACAUCUACUUAAGUAUGUAAAAAUUCAACAUAUGAGUUUAUGUUUACAACGUGUUGUGUUAAAUUGAUGAACGUCAAAUAGGAUAUAAUUCCUCUAGUUGGAGCAAGUAUUCUCUACUAGCUAUCACCUGAAGCAAGCUGUCUCCUCCAUUUUGUAAGUAUAAUCUUACUAAUCAAUGGAAGCGUUUUUGUAAUUAUCUUUCCAUAGUUACAUAUAUAAUUCCUAUCAUUUGUACAAGAGUGAGUUUUAUCGUGAGCUUUCAAUCAAUAAUAGCAAGUCAUCUUUCUUCAUGUCUUAUAUACAUAUAAAGACCAUGGUAUUUCUGGAAAUUACAAAAGUUAAAAGCUACAGAAACGGCACAUCCAACAAUAUUCUGAAUAUCAAAAAACUGAGGGCAAAACACAUGACUACAGAAUUUUACUCUUUUAUCCCUAUUGUUAGAAAGUUUGAUACUAAAACAGAUUUUGUUAUUACAGUCUAGGAAAGAAGCCAAUAGACAUAAGUGACAAAUGUAGGUAUAAACAGAUAACGAGCAUUUCGAGGGGAAAAAAGAACGAUGAAAAGCUUACAGUUCCCUUAACACAGAAAGAUUUCCAAGUUCUGACGGUAAGGGACCGGAGAAAUUGUUGGACCCAAAUGCCCUACAAUAUCAGUCAAAACACAACAGUUAAAUAUGUUCAUAUGAAAAAAAUACAGCUGCGUGGCAUCUAUUGUUAAUAAUCUGCAUCUGUACUCUUGAAAGUUUUUCAUUACUCAUAGCUCCCAUUCAUAAGUAAGGCAAAAAAAAAGAUAAGCAUCUGAGUGAAUUUAAAACUUUUGAGUGGAAAGAAAAUAUAAAAGAUAAAAAAAAAAAUUGAAAAUUUUAGCUUCAUAGGUUUGAUAAAAAGCAACACGAUUGGCUAGCUGUUUGGAUGUCUUCCAGAAUUGACUAGAAAUGGAGAACUUACAAUAGUUCCAGUUUAGAAAGAGAUCCAAGUUCCUUGGGAAGUUCCCCUGAUAACGCAUUAAUGCCCAGACUCCUGAUCACAAUUUGAUUAUAGUUAGAAAAAGGGCGAAACUUUUAAUAUUGACUGUUGAUAUAAUAGUAUGCCUACUGAGGUCAAUACAAAAGGCUAUUGAUUGUCUUACAGGGUCCGCAAUUCUGAGAGAGCACCAAUAGACGAAGAUAGUGUUCCUGUCAAGAAAUUUUGAUCGAGCUUCCUGAAAAAAAUUCAGUUCAAUUUAGUUGCAUGUGCUUCCGGUAAAACUUUCCAUAUUACAAAUAUAAUAUCAAACAUAUAUAUAUUCGCCAAUAUGAGCAUAAACAAUUCAGACAUCUCUACUUUCUAUAAGAGGUCAUAGAUUCAUUUUCUCAACCCUACAUGUGAUGCAAUGAUAAAAAUAAAUGUGUGCAUAUAAGGAGGAAAACGUACAGAUAUGUGAGGGAGGUCAAUGUCCACAGCUCUGGUGGGAGUACACCAACAACAUUCAUUGCAUAAACGUGCCUGCAAAAUCAUAUAAAUAACAUGAAUUUCAAAGAACAAGAGAGAAAACAAAGAACAUGAGUCUGUUACGAGAAACAAAUAUGCUCUACUCUGAUCUUUUCUUUCAAGUAGAUUAUAUCCUCUUAUGACAACCCGAUUUGUCUGGAUGCUAAACAUGAAAGCAAUAUAGUGGGAUUAGUCUUCUAAAAGGACUGAUUUUUUCCAUCGGCUGACAAGUGCAAAAUUAUUGAUACAUAUUUAUAUACUUCACAAAUUCCUGCAUGUCAGAUCCUAUUUUUAAACAGUCCAUGAAUAUAUCGGGACUCACUAAAAAGAUUAAAACGAAUGCCCCCCCACCUAGAAGUUAGUUUUAUUCAACAAUUUGAUUCUAGAAAUUAAACUUAAGUCCUAACAAUCUUACGUACAGACAUGAAUGCUUAAGAAAACUAAUUCAAAGUAGUCCAACUCUUCAUAUACAAUGUGAUAGAUGCAGAGAGAGAGAGAGAAAAAUACAGUUGAGUAAUGAGGCAAGUAGUACUGCCGUUGGCUGAGCAAUCACAUUUUAUAAGAGGAUUGAGGUUUCCAUUAGUAUCGAUGGGGGUCGUAGUGUCGACUGCCCUCCCACUGCACAGAUUGCCGCUUAUAUUCCAUGCCCCUGAUGGUGCCGAAAUUCGCCAUUGUCUAAAUACGGAAUUCAAAGCUCUUGCUGCGCGCACACACACACAUACACUCAGAAGACAUAAUCAAUCAAAUAUAAUAUAGUUGUUGGAGUAAAGCGUUCAGAUUUAUAUCCACUCCUUGGCGAUCCUCACAAAGAUGAAUAUAAAUAAAUAAUCUCAAUCCAUGAACAAAAUAAAAGAUUCAGGUGAAUUGUAUAGUGUUUCUUAACUUUGGACUGAAAAAAUCAAAAGAUGUAAGUGGGUUUUUGGUCGUGUAUAAGAAAAGUGAGCACCACAACUUUUUCAUCCGAGAACACACUAAAGAUGGAAAAGGAGAGAGAUAAAGAACCUUGAUCAGGAUCGGUGAUGGGUUGUGGUGAAUUCUGAGCUUGAGACGAAACAAUCAGGUGGCUAACGAUGGAAACAAUAGCACAAAGAACAAAGAUGAAACCUAAAGAAGAAGAAGACGCCAUAAGUUGUAACAGGAUUAUGGAGGGAGGAAAUGAUAUUUCGGUUUUACGAGGAUACUUAAAUUCUAGAGAUUGGGAUAGCCAACGCAAUAAGGGGACGCUCUGACCAAAACCAUGACGACAAAAAGCAGAAGAGAGUUGGAAAAGAAGACCAUGAGGGAGACUAUUGCGAACAAUUCAACUUCCCAAAUAAAUUAAUUGAUUAAGCAUAUAAACAAAGGGAACCCCAUGUGGUCGAAUCGAAUUGAAACAGUUAAGAGUAGAAUGAUGAAGGAGUAUUGUCGGGUGGCAUGGAAGCUCCGUUAAGGCGCCGGCUGAGACUGGGAGAAUAAAAUUCUCAAAAACAAACGUUAAGGCAGAGAGUAGGUGAGGAAAUGAGGGUAAGUGUGAAAAGAGAGAAAGAUUAAAGAUUUACCUGUUGUUGAUGGCGUUGACAAUUCAAGGUUGGCGACGGAAGAGGGUGGCCCCUGCUAUUAGUAUCCACUUGAGCACUUUGCCGGCGGUUGUAAGAAUCAGAAUUCAAUCUGAAGAAGCGCCACUUUUUUGCAUUUUCAGCCUCAGCGACUUCUCCGUACAUUGACAUCAGACUUGGCCGAUUCCAUGUCUAAUGUCCAUGCUUAAUCUCAAUUUUAUUACUAAAAUGCCGAUACAGUUAUCAACUUUAGAGAAAAUUAAUAAACAUAUGAAUACAAGAUAAAAUAAAGAAAGAUAUCACAUGGAUGGGGAGGUUUAAUUUCAAUAUUGUAAAUAAAAAUAUAUACAUUUAGAGAAUUAUUAUAUUUAUUAUAAUAAUGUAGUUUUUAAUCAUUUUAAAACUAUUUUAUUUUCUCUCUCCUUUCUCUUGGGUUCAAUUCAACAAAUUGCAUUCUCUCUCUAAUUUAGUUAUUUUGUAAAUUUAUAAUUGUAUGAAAAUGUAUAAUUGUAUUUUUUAAAUUAUUAAUAAUGACAUGUAAAAAAAAUUAAAUGUAAAUUAAAAUAUUUUUUAAUAAACAAAUUACAUUAAUUUAAGAGAUAAAAUAAAUAUUUAAUUAUUUAAAUAUGGUAGUUGGAGAUUUAUCGUAGUUGAAAAAUAUUUAUUUUAAUAUUGUAUAUAUUUAAAUGACCCGACCAAUAUUUUAAAGAAAUAGAUGUUCGAUGUUCAAAACGAGACAUAGGCUCCAACAAAUAAUAAUAUUUUCUUCUCCUCCUCCAAUCUCUGUGUGCUUUAUGAAUAAUAAAAUAAUAAAAAAUUUCUUUUACCUAAAAAAUAAAUUAAAUCAAUUCUUCAUUUUUCUUUUACCAUCAUAUUUGAGAUGGAAAAUGAAAAUAAAUAAUAAAUAUGUUUUUAAAAAAUUCAAAAUAGAUUGGAAAACUUUUUCGUUUGGUAAAGAUUAAAAUAAUAAAUUUGUUUUAAUACUUUAGUUUCUCUUUAUGUAAAAAUUAAGAAGAGAGAGUGAAAAAUGAAGAAUAGUAAAUAUGUUAAGAAAAAUAACUCUAAAUAAUAAAUAUAUUUUUUUAUAUAAUUAUCUUAAAUUGGAUUAAUAUUUAAAGAAAAUCAUCACUAAUUUGAAAAAAAAAGUAUAAUCGUUAUUCAAUUUGUAAGUUUCUUUUCAUUUAAUAUUGAUCUAUAAUGUUAUGUGAAGAAAAUUAUUAAUUAGCUAGAAGCAUGUAUAUUAUUAAAAGAUUUAUGUUUUCAUUUUGUUAUUAAAAUUAUGUUAAAUGCACGUUAGUUGUGGAUCUAUGAUUUUGUGGUUAUGAUAUUAAGUUAUAAGAGUUAUAUUAUUAAAUCUACCAUAUUUUGGGCUCGUAUAUUAAGUGAAGUUUUAAAAUUGUAUAUAUAUAUAACUAUAAAAAAAAUCCUAAAGAUCAGAUUUUUAAAUUUGAAGAUAAAUUAAAUCUUUAUGCAAAACAUCAAAGCGAGAUGUUCGUAAAAUUGCUUAUCCGUUGAUACUUCUUCAGAUAUGGGCUUUGGGAACAAUUUUUCAAAACAACUCAACAACUUAUACAUGCAAACGAUCAUCUACUACAUGAGUCAUCAACUUACGCAAUCCAAUUUUGUAAUUGUAAUUUUUUAUUAUAUAAAUUGUAAUUUUUUUAUUAUAAUAAUUUGUUAUAAAUUUUAAUUGUUGUCUUUCGAGGCGAAACCGAAAACUUAUUACUCACGAUAACAAAAAAUAACAAUAAAAUAAUAAAAUAAUUUUAAAUAUAUAUAUAUAUUUAUCUCGAAGCAUAUAAUACAUUGGCAUAAGGGUUUUCCCUCAAAGUCCUUUCCAUGACAUCGGAGAAACCUUUUCCCGACGUCACGUCGGAACAUCAUUAUCUGACUUGAGGAGGUGAUGUCAGGCUUACCAGAUUGUAGACGUAAUCUUUACGUCGGCAUCAACGACGUUGGGGAUAAUACACGUCUGACAUCGUUCCUUUAGCGUGUCAGUCAAAGUUCUCUCGACAUUUUAAUUACUUUUAACGUUCUGACUGACGAGAUUAUUUCUAACGUCAAUAUAACUUUUGCCAACGUCUUUUUCCAUUUUUCUGACACACUACUGCGUCGGCAAUACCCAUUAUCCUUGUAGUGAUAUUAUGAUUAAGGAGUAUGUCUAUCGUCUUCAUACAUGGAUGUCGGUCAACGAGUCUGUCUAUCCUUGUAGUGAUAUUAUGAUUCAGAUGUCCGAAUAUUUGUACUAUGAAGCACCUGCAUAGGUUUCAUAUCGACAAGAAUACCAACAAGAACCAAAGAAUCAAAAUGAGCCAAGACAACACAAGAGCUCAGAGUCAACAGUGACAACUAGCUCAAAAUUGAUAAUGUCUAGGUUGUGUGGAAUACAUUUAUUUUAUUUUAUCUUUUAAAUAAAUGUAAUUUGGUUAUUAAAAGAUAUUUUAAUUUACAUUUAAAUUUUUUCAAUUACAGGUCAUUACAAAAACUGUUCAACAAUCAUAUUUUUAAUCAUUAAAAAUACAAUUAUAAAUUUUAUAUAAUUCGUGACAAAUGAAUGAAAGAUAAAAUACAAUUGAAUUUUCAAUAUGGUUUGAUUUAAAAAAGUAAAAUUUUCUCAUAAUGUAAUUAUUUAAAUUUACAUAUUUAAAUAUUAAAAAAAAAAAGCAAGAUUGUCUUGGGUUGAAAACCCGACUUUGUAAAAAGAAAAUAAAAUGGAAAGAAAAGUAUUUGGGUGAAGUGAACCUUCUUAUUCUCUUCUAUGUUUUAGGUUGAACCCAAGCAUAAUAAGUCUUGGGUUGAACCCAUGACAUAGGAGAGAGUAAAAAUCUACAAUAUUUUACUAAAUAUUUUUUAAACUACACUAUUUUGCUAAAUAUUUUGUGAAAUAACCAUAUUUUUAUAAAUUUUCCCAGGGAGGGCAGGUAUUCUGGUAUAUCUAUAAAUCAACUCUACCAUCUCUAUUAUCAAAUAGGGAUCGUGAGAAUCAAAACCAAACAUAACAGAGGGAACAACACAUUGGUUGAGAGGUUAAUGAAUGAAUUUGUAAUAUAAAAAAGUUAUGGACAUCUAAUAACACUCCACUCUAAUUAAGAAUAUUUAUAAUAUUCCUCUUUUAGAUACUCAUAUUAUAUAAAGUAAAUGUCUCGUUGAAAUCUCAUUAGAAAAAAACCUGAUGGAAAAAAAAAAGAAUCUUAGUAAAAAACUCAAUGGAAAAAAACCAUAAUAAAGAAGAAAUAGUUCAAUAUUUCUACUCCUCUUAUGAACACAUCAUUUGAGUUCUCCAAUUUGUCACAUUUCAAUAUUGUGCUCCAGCUUUUCAAAUGUUGGUGUGGGUACUGUCUUUGUAAAAAUAGUGUGUUUAGAUUACAUUUUUAAGUGUUUAAUUUUAAAAAUAAGUUAUUUUAAAAAAAAAACUAAAAUGUUGGAAACCACUCAAAAUAUAUAUUUUUAAGUGUAUCUUAAACAAUUUUUAGAAAAAUAAGUUUAAACAAAAAUAAAUUUCUUGAAAAAUAUUUGUUUCUCAAAUCUGCCAAGUUGUCUUUUGAAGAAUUUUGCUACUAUUGUUGUCGUCAUUUUAUGCUUUGUCUUCAACAUUAUUGGCUUGUCUCGUACAUCAUCAAUAUUUCACAAUGAUUUAAAUUAAAAUAGUUGUUCUUAUUUGCUUCAUAAGUUGACAUAAUAUAAAAAAAUUUCUAUUUGUACAAAGUAACUUGUGUAAUAUCUAGCUCACAUGGGUUAAAUAAAUAACUCAGAUCUUCCUAAUGAAUUAGAUCACAAACAGAUCUAUUAAAAUCAGAUCUAUUAAAAUAAAAUAAAUUCAUGCGAGCUAAUUCUCAAAUUAGACAUAACAUAGUUUAAUUCUUCUCCAAUAUCUUUGCAGAAAAUUUAUUUUUAUGUAACAAAAUUACUAAAGAUACUGCAACAUAUAUAGUAUAUAAACUAAUAGAGAUAUAUGUGCACUUAUUUCUCAAAAUUAUGGUUCUUCACCAUAAUUCAAGUUUUUCAUUAUCUUUCUGGUACUAGAUGAUUUUUAUUUCACACAGCCAAGUGAAAAUGAACCAUCCAAGAAAAGUUCAGUAAUAUAACUUGUCCAUUUAUGUAUUAAGCUGAUGUAAUUUCAUUUGCUUUAUGUUUUAUUCGCACGCUAAAGCAAAACAUAUAAUCUCAAUUUUUUCUAGACAAACUUUAUUGCCUUUGAAGAUUCUGUAGAGUUUCUUCUCAAAAUCAACAAUAUAUAAUGCAUAUCAGUCGUGAUUUCUUUUAAAAGCAUAUGAACAAAUAUGAGUUACUUUUACACAUUUAUAUCAACAAAAAAUAUUAAUAAUAUGAUUAUAUUCGUCUGGAAUGUUUUAUAAUUCUCUAAUACUUCAAUCAUAUAACUUUAGUAUACCUUUAAUCCUCCAUGGAUAUAAUUAUUAAUAGAUUCAUAUAAAUGUAUAAUGACUACAAUAAGACGUAUGUUUCUUUUCACACAAGUCAAUCCUUUUUGUGUCUCGACAUUGUUCAAUAUGUCUAAGUACAAUUACUUAUUUUCAUCAAUAAUAUUGGGAGCAACAAUGUGUGCAAAAAUGUUGUUGUCAAGUUAUUUAAGUAUGAUUCCAUCUUUUUCUUGUCAUGACAUAUAAUUUUAUCGAGAUCUCCUUACUAUCGUUAUUUACUAUAAGAUUCUUAUGACUACUUAUAUUCAGAAUAUCUUUUAGAAUAUUCAUAUUCUUAACCGAGUCAUUAAUUGACCACUUCUUUUUUUAGUAUUUUAUCUUUGGAACUCAUUUGUCUAUUAUACUUGGCGUGUAACAGUGACAACUUGUUACACUGGGAUAUCAUUCUUAGAUGAUAUUUUUGUAACCAUUAUAAUUUGGUCACUUUCGUACAGUUGUAAAUGUUUAGUAAAUGCAUCUGACAUUUGAUUUGCAAAAUGAGACCAUAAUUAUGCAUUUCAUUCAAUUCAUUUUUCCAGUUUUUUCUUAAUUUCUCUCAUAAUGUUGAAAAAUUUGUCUCGUUAAUAAGAACUAACAAAUUGUAUAGUAAAUACAUUACUCAUCAAGGGUUCAAAGUACUUAUUAAUUGAUAUGAAAUUAAUUUCAACAUGGAGUUUAAUUAUGCUAUCAUUUUAAAUUUAACAAUAUAUAAACAUAAUCUCAUACAGAUUUAGAAGCUUUUUUUAUUCAAACAUAAGGUACAAAUUGUUCAUCACUUAUCAAAUAUUUGGGAUACAAACUCACUAGCAUUCUCAAAACAAAAUAAUAAAUAUAUCUACGACCAUCAAUAGGAUGCGCCAACAGGAAUCAAUAUAAACCAUGAAUCUCUUCUAAAAGUAUGAAAGAUUGAAUUUCAGUUUUACCUAGUGAGAGUUUGAUAAUUAACCUCUUGAAAACAAGACAACUUGACAAUUUAUUACGUUAAAGAAUCUUCUAGUUCUUCGAUGAAUGUCAAUGUAUAUUUUCAAUGAUUAAUUUCACUGUUGAUCCAAACUGACUCAUUAUAUCAAAUAAAAUUAUAUUUGGAUGAUUGUUCCAAAUAUUUCACUGGCACGAAUAUGUGUUUAAUAUAAUUUAAAAGUAAAAGCAGAUGAAUUUUGUACAUGCACUUCGUGUAGAAGAUUAAUUAUAUAUAAUAUAUGAAUAACAUAUAUUAUUCUUAUUAUACAUCUCUCUAGAUGAAAUAUCACAUAUAUUCCAGAUUUACUAAAUUUUUCUUACAAGAGAAUAAAGUAUAUCAAUUGUAAAUUUUGCUUAUCUCAGCAAAAUAAUAUUUUCUUUUCCACAAUUUUUUUAAAUCAAGACUAUCAAAUCUUCCUAACUUAAUAUUACACUUGAUUUUUCACUUCAAACGUAUGAAUUUUGGACGCAUGGUAUACUUUUAAGUAGAAUAUUGAUAGAUGUAUGACAUGCAAAACAUAAAUAUUAAUUAUUCUUACAGAGAGGGAUAGAUGUAUGACAUGCAAAACAUAGAUAUUAAUUAUUCUUAUUCUCUCUAAGAUAUUCAAAAGAAAUCCAAAUUUCUUAUUCAUAUACAAUUGGGUCAAAAAAUAAUUAUCUCUUCAACAACCACUUGUGAUUACAUUCAAAUAAUAUUAUACAUUUAAAUAAAAGUUAUAAUCUCUCAACAGAUACACAUAAUUUUUUAAAGUUUAGUUCUCAUUUUCAUCACUAAAGAUUUUAAUUUUUUAAAUAGAUUUUUUAAAAGGUAGAAGUACAAUAUUAUUAUAUAUCUUCUCUAUCAUACCUUCAGAAAAUAAAACUCAAUAUCAUAAAUACUUAUUCUCUAUUAACAUAAUUUGACCUUUAAUUACUAAAUAUUGCAACAAUGUUGUUAAAUUAUUUGGUCGAAUUUAUCAUUUUUUUAUAGAAAUAUAUGCUCAUAUAUUUAAUAUUUAAUGCAUUGUUUAAAAAAAAAAUUUCUCUCAAAUUGUUAUUGCAAGUGCAAGAGCAAAAAUGUUUUGAUAUGUAUGUAAUUAGCAAUUUAUGCAACUUCAUAUGCAUUAGAUCAAAAUUGGAUUUGUGUGGUAGUUAACUAUCUUGGACAUGAGGUCUCUAGUUCAAGUCUCCCACUCCUAAGUUGUAUUACAAUACCUUUUCAAAAAA
rnacentral:lncRNA from 1 species